CCUACGGGCGGCACCAGUGAGGAAUAUUGGACAAUGGGUGGAAGCCUGAUCCAGCCAUCCCGCGUGUAGGAAGACGGCCUUAUGGGUUGUAAACUACUUUUAUCUGAGGAUAAACCUACUUACGAGUAAGUAGCUGAAGGUACCAGAAGAAUAAGCACCGGCUAACCCCGUGCCAGCAGCCGCGGUAAUACGGAGGGUGCGAGCGUUAUCCGGAUUUAUUGGGUUUAAAGGGUCCGUAGGCGGGAUAAUCAGUCAGUGGUGAAAUCCCUUAGCUUAACUAAGGAACUGCCAUUGAUACUGUCAUUCUUGAGUAAGGUUGCAGUGCUGGAAUGUGUAGUGUAGCGGUGAAAUGCUUAGAUAUUACGCAGGACACCAAUUGCGAAGGCAGGUCACUAAGCCUUAACUGACGCUGAUGGACGAAAGCGUGGGGAGCGGACAGGAUUAGAUACCCCAGUAGUC
rnacentral:rRNA from 1 species